rnacentral:rRNA from 1 species
GUCUACAGCCAGGCCACCCUGAACAAGCCCGAUCCUGUCUGAUCUCGGAAGCUAAGCAGGGUCGGGCCUGGUUAGUACUUGGAUGGGCGACCACCUAGGAAGACCAGGUGCUGUAGGCG